UACGUAGGGGGCAAGCGUUGUCCGGAAUUAUUGGGCGUAAAGCGCGCGUAGGCGGUUACUCAAGUCGGAUGUGAAAGCCCUCGGCUUAACUGAGGAAGUGCACCCGAAACUGAGUAGCUAGAGUACUAAAGAGGGUCGCGGAAUUCCCGGUGUAGAGGUGAAAUUCGUAGAUAUCGGGAGGAACACCGGUGGCGAAGGCGGCGACCUGGGUAGAUACUGACGCUGAGGCGCGAAAAGCGUGGGGGAGCAAACAGG
rnacentral:rRNA from 1 species